rnacentral:tRNA from 1 species
GGGCCCGUGGCCUAGCCUGGACUCGCGAGAUUUUCUCGAAAGUUAGUAAUCCCCGGUUCGAAUCCGGGCGGGCCCGCCA